rnacentral:rRNA from 1 species
ACCAGACUCCUACGGGAGGCAGCAGUGGGGAAUAUUGCACAAUGGGGGAAACCCUGAUGCAGCGACGCCGCGUGAGCGAUGAAGUAUUUCGGUAUGUAAAGCUCUAUCAGCAGGGAAGAAGAUGACGGUACCUGACUAAGAAGCCCCGGCUAACUACGUGCCAGCAGCCGCGGUAAUACGUAGGGGGCAAGCGUUAUCCGGAUUUACUGGGUGUAAAGGGAGCGUAGACGGCGAUGCAAGCCAGAUGUGAAAGCCCGGGGCUCAACCCCGGGACUGCAUUUGGAACUGUGUGGCUGGAGUGUCGGAGAGGCAGGCGGAAUUCCUAGUGUAGCGGUGAAAUGCGUAGAUAUUAGGAAGAACACCAGUGGCGAAGGCGGCUUGCUGGACAGUAACUGACGUUGAGGCUCGAAAGCGUGGGGAGCAAACAGGAUUAGAUACCCCCGUAAA